GCUGCGGGAACACAAAGAACAUUUCAAUUUGAAGCACAUAGAGCCAUUGUCUUUGCUCUUACAUACGGUAAGUGUGCUUCAUGCUUACUCGUGUGCAUUUUAAAAUCAGAGCUCCAACGAAGAAGACCAAUAGGAUGGUGAAUGCCAACACACUCAGGGACAUCAGGAUGACCACAAAAAUCUGGACCUUGCAUUGUUCCUGGGGAUCCGUCUCUGUGAGGAAAAGUGUCCAACAAACAGAGGUACACAACGUCCUCUCCAUUGCGGAAUAGCCUGCGCAGGUAGAGCCCCAUCGGUUCAGGCAGCGACGUGGAGCACGUGAUCUCAGCGGAUGAGUUUACUCUCAUUAAGACGGACAAGGGCCUCUGAGAAACUGUUUGGAGAGAUGUAGUGUUACUGACUGCCUCACCUCUUGUUCAUAAACAGGUUAUUAUGUCAGGAAACACUCAAAAAGUGUUUAAAGGACUUACAAAGGGGCGUAACAUUCAUCUAACCAAGUACUGUACCCAGGUGCCGAUUCAAGGUACUUUUGCUCAAGUAUCAACAUUUGACCAUGGACCAAACUGUCCUCAUUAACCAAAUAAAGCAGCUAAAACUUAA